rnacentral:rRNA from 1 species
UAAUAUUCCCGUACUUCUGACUAUUGCGAUGGGGGGACGGAGAAGGCUAGGUGGGCCAGGCGACGGUUGUCCUGGUUCAAGUGCGUAGGCUUGAGAGUUAGGUAAAUCCGGCUCUCUCUAAGGCUGAGACACGACGUCGAGCUACUACGGUAGUGAAGUCAUUGAUGCCAUGCUUCCAGGAAAAGCCUCUAAGCUUCAGAUAGUCAGGAAUCG